rnacentral:sRNA from 1 species
AUAAGCAAUUUUUUGUUGGUUUUAGCCUCUUUUGGGAGAAAAUGGGUAUAAGUGUUGUCAAAACACCCCUAAUCCAUCUCUAACUCAUAUAAUCAGUCAAAUGCAUUGGAUUGCGAUAUAUAUUGAGUUAUUGACCAUUGAAACACUAACAAAGA